GAGUGGUGGGCCCUCGGAGUCGGUUUACAGAAGCAGACUACAAAUCACCUCAAGCGGCAUUGAUAAAGAGCUAGUCGUGAGCGUUGAAGAAAAAGGAGUAAUGAAAAUGUAAGGU
rfam:Leptospira weilii str. Ecochallenge ctg1130122076027, whole genome shotgun sequence.